rnacentral:rRNA from 1 species
UACCGGCACCCCGAGUGGUCGGGACGUUUAUUGGGCCUAAAGCAUCCGUAGCCGGUUCUACAAGUCUUCCGUUAAAUCCACCUGCUUAACAGAUGGGCUGCGGAAGAUACUAUGGAGCUAGGAGGCGGGAGAGGCAAGCGGUACUCGAUGGGUAGGGGUAAAAUCCGUUGAUCCAUUGAAGACCACCAGUGGCGAAGGCGGCUUGCUAGAACGCGCUCGACGGUGAGGGAUGAAAGCUGGGGGAGCAAACCGG